GUGAGGAAUUUUCCGCAAUGGGCGAAAGCCUGACGGAGCAAUGCCGCGUGAAGGAUGAAGGCCUAUGGGUUGUAAACUUCUUUUCUUAGAGAAGAAUAUUGACGGUAUCUGAGGAAUAAGCAUCGGCUAACUCUGUGCCAGCAGCCGCGGUAAUACGGAGGAUCCAAGCGUUGUCCGGAUUUAUUGGGUUUAAAGGGUGCGUAGGCGGAUCUUUAAGUCAGUGGUGAAAGCCUGCAGCUUAACUGUAGAAUUGCCAUUGAAACUGAAGAUCUUGAAUGUGGUUAAAGUAGGCGGAAUGUAUCAUGUAGCGGUGAAAUGCUUAGAUAUGAUACAGAACACCGAUAGCGAAGGCAGCUUGCUGAACCAUUAUUGACGCUGAGGCACGAAAGCGUGGGGAGCGAACAGGAUUAGAUACCCGGGUAGUCC
rnacentral:rRNA from 1 species